AUUGAACGCUGGCGGCAGGCCUAACACAUGCAAGUCGAGCGGAUGAAGGGAGCUAGCUCCUGGAUUCAGCGGCGGACGGGUGAGUAAUGCCUAGGAAUCUGCCUGGUAGUGGGGGAUAACGUCCGGAAACGGGCGCUAAUACCGCAUACGUCCUGAGGGAGAAAGUGGGGGAUCUUCGGACCUCACGCUAUCAGAUGAGCCUAGGUCGGAUUAGCUAGUUGGUGGGUAAAGGCCUACCAAGGCGACGAUCCGUAACUGGUCUGAGAGGAUGAUCAGUCACACGGAAAAGGAGACACGUUCCAAAACCCUGCGGGAGACACGGGUGGGGAAUAUUGGGGAGGGGGCGAAAGCCUGUCCCAGCCAAGCCGCGUGUGUGAAAAAGGUCCUCGGAUUGUAAAGCACUUAAAGUUGGGGGGAGGGAAAAUAAUUUAAACCCUUGCUUUUUUAACUUUACCAACAAAAAAAGCCCCGGCUAAUUGCGG
rnacentral:rRNA from 1 species